UGCAGCAUGUAUAUAUAAUAUUCAGUUACGGACACACUGAACAGAUGAUAUAGAUAUAACAACGGAUUUUUGAUUAUCUUUUGCUGAUUAUAAUAUUAAUUAUAAGUAUUAUAAUGGAGUUUCGACUAAAACGAUUUUUUGUCGGAAUAAUUUUGCUUUAUUCAGUCAAUGUCACCAAUGGAUUGGCAUGCUAUUUUUGUGGAGCAACAGGGACAAAUAACACUUGUGAGCAUUAUAAAACAUACAAGAUGGCCGUUCAAGGGAAAGGAGACCCUCAUGUUAUCAAGAAUUGUACAGAACCUUACGAUCAAGUCUGCAUGAUCGAAACAUUUUCAACAUUGGGUAACACCGUUUCGCACAUUCGAGACUGCAGCAACGGUAAACAAUUUUCAUUCACUGCCAACAUUGUCAAUGACCGCGGGGCAUACGCAAGACUGUAUGCCUUGCAACACAACAACGAAACGGCAUGUGUUUGGGACGGCAACAAUAUGGCCUGUCUUACCAAAUGUGACGAAGAUUUGUGUAACGGACCACAGAUCAAUGGAUGUAUUUCACGUAGUCAAAUCUCGUUUCCGUUGAUUUUUAUGUAUGCUUUAUUCGUAAUACGCCUAACCAAACAAAAAUAGUUGACUGAACGUGAAUUUUAUUUAUUGUGUUGUGUAAAUAACAUGCUUAAGCAUCAUUGGGUGUGACCAUAAACCAUAUUAUGGCAUUCAAAUUGCAUAAUUAAAUACAUAACGUUG